UUACGGUCAUGUCACGCUGACACACCGAUUCUCGUCAGAUCACCGGAGUUAAGCAAUGUAAAGCCUGGUCACUACCUAGAUGGUUGACCACUUGAAAAUGCCAGGUGGUGUAA